rnacentral:rRNA from 1 species
AUGGCGACCGCAGCGCCGUCGAAGAAGGCGGCGAACCGGCUGGUGGUGGAGGAGACCGCCACCAACGACGACAACUCCGUGUGCACCCUUCACCCAGACACCAUGGAGAAGCUCUCCAUAUUCAAGGGCGACAUCGUGAUGCUCAAGGGCAAGCGCAGUCAGCUAGAUGGAAAUGCCGUGAUGGCUUACACUAGUAUUGCUCAGUUUAUAUACAUCAAGUACAGGUUUAGUUACAGCUCAAGCGAUGGUGGAUAA